AAGACAGCAUCCUUCUUCACUGUAAGUAGAAUUGUUUAUUGAUGUGACUGAUACUGUAUAUCUCCUGUGUACAUUAUUUUAUCUGCUGACAUGUUUUAUUGUCUCUGAAGCCACACAGAGAGAUGAGAGGAGCAGCUAUGAGUUUAACUGCAGCAGCGAGAGGAUUUGUCGUCUCCCUUCUCUCUGUGUCAGUUUCUACCUGAACAGCCAGAGGAGCAGGAUAACCUUCAGUAUGCCAGCAUUCACUUCACCAACAACCAGGCAGAUCCUCUCUACUCCAACAUCAGACCAGCUCGCUCCCUCAGACACACGGAGCAACAAGAUUUCAUGGAGUACGCUGUUGUCACAUUUAAGAGUAAUACUGCCCCGAGAUCCAGAGGUCAGGAACCUGGAGAGGAUCCAUCUGCAUUGUACAGCACAGUCAACGACCAAAACAUAUAUUGCAUUUAUGAUAAUUCUGUUUCUUUUUUUAGUUCUUUCUUUUAGUUAAUAUUU